GUAUUGAUUGCGUGUGACCGCAAAAAUAACAUUCUACACUGUAUCAAGUUUUGUGUAAAGACGCGGGCCCUCCGGCAAAGGGGGACCCACGCGGUGAUGCACAAAGGGUGAGAUGGAUUGUGUGAGAGGGCUCGGGCGUGCACGACCGGGGAAGGUCAGCGACAGCCCUCGCGCCUCGGUUUAACGAUAAUGAUCCUUCCGCAGGUUCACCUACGGAAA
rnacentral:misc_RNA from 1 species